rnacentral:rRNA from 1 species
GAGUAAUAUCUGGGAAUCUACCCAAAAGAGGGGGAUAACUACUAGAAAUGGUAGCUAAUACCGCAUAAAGUUGAGAAACCAAAGUGGGGGACCUUUUAGGCCUCAUGCUUUUGGAUGAGCCCAGACGAGAUUAGCUUGUUGGUAAGGUAAAAGCUUACCAAGGCUUCGAUCUCUAGCUGGUCUGAGAGGAUAACCAGCCACACUGGAACUGAGACACGGUCCAGACUCCUACGGGAGGCAGCAGUGGGGAAUAUUGCACAAUGGGCGAAAGCCUGAUGCAGCUAUGCCGCGUGUAUGAAGAAGGCCUUAGGGUUGUAAAGUACUUUCAGCGGGGGAG